GACGGAGGAUGCAAGUGUUAUCCGGAAUCACUGGGCGUAAAGCGUCUGUAGGUCGUUUAAAAAGUCUACUGUUAAAAAUUGAAGCUUAACUUCAAAGAUGCCGUAGAAACUUUUAAACUUGAGUAUGGUAGGGGUAGAGGGAAUUUCCAGUGGAGCGGCGAAAUGCGUAGAUAUUGGAAAGACCACCAAUGGCGAAGGCACUCUACUGGGCCAUUACUGACACUCAGAGACGAAAGCUAGGGUAGCAAAUGGG
rnacentral:rRNA from 1 species